UUUUAUAAGAAUAUGAUGUUGGUUCAGAUUAAGCGCUAAAUAAGGACAUGACACAUGCGAAUCAUACGUUUAUUAUUGAUAAGAUAAUAAAUAUGUGGUGUAAACGUGAGUAAUUUUAUUAGGAAUUAAUGAACUAUAGAAUAAGCUAAAUACUUAAUAUAUUAUUAUAUAAAAAUAAUUUAUAUAAUAAAAAGGAUAUAUAUAUAAUAUAUAUUUAUCUAUAGUCAAGCCAAUAAUGGUUUAGGUAGUAGGUUUAUUAAGAGUUAAACCUAGCCAACGAUCCAUAAUCGAUAAUGAAAGUUAGAACGAUCACGUUGACUCUGAAAUAUAGUCAAUAUCUAUAAGAUACAGCAGUGAGGAAUAUUGGACAAUGAUCGAAAGAUUGAUCCAGUUACUUAUUAGGAUGAUAUAUAAAAAUAUUUUAUUUUAUUUAUAAAUAUUUAAUAUUUAUAAUAAUAAUAAUAAUAAUAUAUAUAUAUAAAUUGAUUAAAAAUAAAAUCCAUAAAUAAUUAAAAUAAUGAUAUUAAUUACCAUAUAUAUUUUAUAUGGAUAUAUAUAUUAAUAAUAAUAUUAAUUUAUUAUUAUUAAUAAUAUAUUUUAAUAGUCCUGACUAAUAUUUGUGCCAGCAGUCGCGGUAACACAAAGAGGGCGAGCGUUAAUCAUAAUGGUUUAAAGGAUCCGUAGAAUGAAUUAUAUAUUAUAAUUUAGAGUUAAUAAAAUUAAUUAAAGAAUUAUAAUAGUAAAGAUGAAAUAAUAAUAAUAAUUAUAAGACUAAUAUAUGUGAAAAUAUUAAUUAAAUAUUAACUGACAUUGAGGGAUUAAAACUAGAGUAGCGAAACGGAUUCGAUACCCGUGUAGUUCUAGUAGUAAACUAUGAAUACAAUUAUUUAUAAUAUAUAUUAUAUAUAAAUAAUAAAUGAAAAUGAAAGUAUUCCACCUGAAGAGUACGUUAGCAAUAAUGAAACUCAAAACAAUAGACGGUUACAGACUUAAGCAGUGGAGCAUGUUAUUUAAUUCGAUAAUCCACGACUAACCUUACCAUAUUUUGAAUAUUAUAAUAAUUAUUAUAAUUAUUAUAUUACAGGCGUUACAUUGUUGUCUUUAGUUCGUGCUGCAAAGUUUUAGAUUAAGUUCAUAAACGAACAAAACUCCAUAUAUAUAAUUUUAAUUAUAUAUAAUUUUAUAUUAUUUAUUAAUAUAAAGAAAGGAAUUAAGACAAAUCAUAAUGAUCCUUAUAAUAUGGGUAAUAGACGUGCUAUAAUAAAAUGAUAAUAAAAUUAUAUAAAAUAUAUUUAAUUAUAUUUAAUUAAUAAUAUAAAACAUUUUAAUUUUUAAUAUAUUUUUUUAUUAUAUAUUAAUAUGAAUUAUAAUCUGAAAUUCGAUUAUAUGAAAAAAGAAUUGCUAGUAAUACGUAAAUUAGUAUGUUACGGUGAAUAUUCUAACUGUUUCGCACUAAUCACUCAUCACGCGUUGAAACAUAUUAUUAUCUUAUUAUUUAUAUAAUAUUUUUUAAUAAAUAUUAAUAAUUAUUAAUUUAUAUUUAUUUAUAUCAGAAAUAAUAUGAAUUAAUGCGAAGUUGAAAUACAGUUACCGUAGGGGAACCUGCGGUGGGCUUAUAAAUAUC
rnacentral:ncRNA from 1 species